rnacentral:snRNA from 1 species
AGCUUUGUGUAGUGGCAGUAUCAUAGCCAAGCAAGUUUAUCCAAGAUGUGAUUAUUUGCUA